GCUGGGCGUGGUGGCGGGCGCCUGUAGUCCCAGCUACUCGGGAGGCUGAGGCAGGAGAAUGGCAUGAAGCCGGGAGGCGGAGUUUGCAGUGAGCCAAGAUCGCGCCACUGCACUCUGAAUAGGUUCCUUUAAGAAGGUCCUGGAUGGUCUACCUUUUUUUUUUUUUUUUUUUUUUUUGAGACGGAGUCUCGCUCUGUCGCCCAGGCUGGAGUGCAGUGGCGCGAUCUCGGCUCACUGCAAGCUCCGCCUCCUGGGUUUACGCCAUUCUCCUGCCUCAG
rnacentral:SRP_RNA from 1 species